rnacentral:rRNA from 1 species
CCUACGGGAGGCAGCAGUCGAGAAUCAUUCACAAUGGGGGAAACCCUGAUGGUGCGACGCCGCGUGGGGGAAUGAAGGUCUUCGGAUUGUAAACCCCUGUCAUGUGGGAGCAAAUUAAAAAGAUAGUACCACAAGAGGAAGAGACGGCUAACUCUGUGCCAGCAGCCGCGGUAAUACAGAGGUCUCAAGCGUUGUUCGGAAUCACUGGGCGUAAAGCGUGCGUAGGCUGUUUCGUAAGUCGGGUGUGAAAGGCGCGGGCUCAACCCGCGGACGGCACAUGAUACUGCACGACUAGAGUGAUGGAGUGGGAACCGGAAUUCUCGGUGUAGCAGUGAAAUGCGUAGAUAUCGAGAGGAACACUCGUGGCGAAGGCGGGUUCCUGGACAUUAACUGACGCUGAGGCACGAAGGCCAGGGGAGCGAAAGGGAUUAGAUACCCGUGUAGUC